CGGCGUCUCCCUUGUGAUUGGGUCCCGGCGCCGCCCGUCAGUGUCAACUUCGGGUUGUCUCUUGUGCUGCCUUUUCAUUGGCUGCGUUUCGAGAGGAAAAAAAAAAGAGUCCCAACGGUUCACGCCCCCCCCCCCCCCCCCCUUCUUUUUUGAAAAAAAAAAUUGGAAGCCGAGCGGUGCUCUGCGUUGGGUGGCAUUUGAGGAUAAAAUCUGGAAAAAAGCUGCCCUUCUCGCACAAUAGAGCCACUGUGCGCACAGGAGUCGCCCCGGCUGUUCCUCCGGCUCUGACCGUCUUUAAACUCGCACACAUCUGUCGGCACAGACAAGAUGAGCCCCCAAACACAGCCCUCCAGCACAGUCUCCCAUCAGCGAGCUGGAGAACUGCCCGUUCAGUGGUGCUUUCAAAUUUCAGGUCACUUCAAACUCCAGCCGUGUUGAACUGUUUUUAUUUUUUUGGGGGGGUUAUUCUCCAGGUGCCAGCUCUAAAAUGUGGUCCUUACCUCUGAGGUGACCACCGCCUGCACAGUAAACUCGAGCUGUUUCCAUCAGGGCAUUUAGACUUCCUAGACUGAAGUGCAACACAGCUGACAUUAUCUUGCCUCCUCGUGUCUAUAAGCCUGCUCAAUCGCACAGGUAAUUGUUCAGUUUUUAUUUUCUUCGUGCAUCUUAACUGAUGAGCCAACUUUUUGUCUGGUUUGCACCGUGUGGAUUAUUGAAAGCUUCCGACUUCCUCUCCAAUCUUAAGUUUUUUUUUCUUCCCGUUAAUGGAUUCAUGUUGUGCUGAGUGUACUUUUCUUGUGUACACCUGCCUGCAAACCAAAUGUCCCAACUGGGGACAAUAAAGGAAGUACUUUGCGCAUUGAAAAAUAUUCAAUGGAGAAUCUAGAAGACAUUCAUCAGUCACAGAAGCCAGAAAUGACAUCGCAAGUUAGCAUGGAAAUAUUAAAAACAACAAAAAAAAUCACUGCAAUAACCAGAUAUGAUCAUAAUACAGUAUGUACCCUUAUUAAAGUUAUUUCUGCACAGAAGAGCUCUGGGAACAACUUCGCCGACUGGAAAAUAUUCAGUGUCAAAGCGGACAUUGUUUUUAUACAGCUCCGAGUGCUUCCUUAUGCCUGGAACAAAAUGCCCAGCCAAAGCUGUCUCCCAUCGAUGCUCUGGGAUCCUUCAAGAUAGGCUGAGAUUCUGGCACUGAGGGUGAGGUUUGUUCAGUUCACCCCUGCUGUGCCUGUUCAGAUCCCUCAGCAGUUGUAAUAAGAAAGGUACGUCACCCUCUGAUGAAACAUUAUUCUCCAGGGCUGGCUUGUCUUCGUGCUUCCAAAGAACAUUUAGAUGCCGCCAACAGACUUGCAAAGUGUUCCCAAGCCAUUACAAACUCGGCUACGUCCUUACAACAGAUGCGUUCUAUAAACGAAUGUUCAAUUAAACAAAACAUCCAGGAGUGAUCCA